UCAUAAACAUAGAUGUUACUGUCUACCUAAAUGUGGAAGCUCAACUCUUCUUCAUACUCUAUUAUGUCUUUCUGUAACAGGGAUAUCAUGGAGACACAUCAAAGACAUUUCUUUGUGGGGAGGUCAGUGAUAGUGUGCAACGCCUAGUGAAGGUAGCGUGGGAUGUGACCCAGAUCUGCUUCAAAAUGUGAGAUGUGUCAGUCCAUGUUUGGUCGAAUUGGUAUCGAGCACACCAAAUAUUGAUCUAUCUCCCUACUUGCCUCCAAGAAAGAAGUUGCGGCUUCAACAAAACCAAGACUAUUCUCUUAUUGGCCAACUGCCAAUAUCGUCUGUUUACGACUCUUUUUUUUUUUUAGGUUACCUUGCUAACACCCAAUAGCCUGUAUACU